rnacentral:rRNA from 1 species
CGGGGGUGCAAGCGUUAAUCGGAAUUACUGGGCGUAAAGCGCGCGUAGGCGGUUUAGUCAGUCAGAUGUGAAAGCCCCGGGCUCAACCUGGGAACUGCAUUUGAUACUGCUAAACUAGAGUGUGGUAGAGGUAAGUGGAAUUCCGGGUGUAGCGGUGAAAUGCGUAGAGAUCCGGAGGAACAUCAGUGGCGAAGGCGGCUUACUGGACCAACACUGACGCUGAGGUGCGAAAGCGUGGGUAGCAAACAGGAUUAGAUACCCGAGUAGUCC